rnacentral:rRNA from 1 species
ACAUGCCUACAACAUAGCACUAAUGCAUCGGAUCCCAUUAGAACUCCAUAGUUAAUCAUGCUAGAGUAGUAUUGGGAUGGGUGACAUCCUAGGAAUUCCUAGUGUUUUUACAUGCC